rnacentral:rRNA from 1 species
GACACUCCCAUAGCGAGCGGGGGAGGGGGGAGUAAGACCGGGGGCACCUGCCCCAUGGCCUGGGAUUCCACUUGUAAACAGGUGCUAAUACCCGAGAAGAAAGCAGAUCGACUGAUCAGCUUUUAAAGAACAGCUUUCACUGAUCCUCUUGGAUGGCCCCGCGCGCUUCUCGCUGUUUGGCCAGGUGAAGGCUUACCAAGGCCAUGAUGCAUAGGGGAGUGGAGACACUGAUCGGUCCCCACCUUACUGAGACACGGCCCCGACUCCUACGGGAGGGUGCCCAACGGAAUGUUCCACACUGGACACAAGGGUGAUGGA